UUUUCCCCCAUUUCCCACCCCUCAUUCCCGCUUUCCCCACCCCCAUUUCCCACCCUUUCCCACUCCCAUUUCCCACCUUUAUUCCACCCCUUUUCCCCCCAUUUCCCACCCUUUUCCACCCUUUUUCCCCCAUUUCCCACCCCUCAUUUCUCCCUUUCCCACCUUUCCCUCCCCUUUUUCCCACACUUUUCCAACCCUUUCCCCCCCGUUUCCCACCUUCUUUACCCAUCCCUUUCCCACCCUUUUCCCUGCCAUUUCCCAAAUCUUUUCCCCCAUUUCCCACCCUUUUCCCACCCCUUUCCCCGGUGCCACCCCGCUGUCCCCGCAGUGUCCCAGAUUGUCACCCAGGAUUACUGCCAGGCCCUGGAGCAGCUGGAGCUGGAGCAGGACCUGCGCUGCCACGCUGAGGCCUUCGCCCACCAGAUGCUGGUCCAGCAGAAGGAGGCGAAGCGCCAGAGCUCCAUCCUGCUGAGGAGCGCCGCGCCCGAUUCCCAAAUCCUGGAAGCGUUCCAGGAACUGGAAAAACUCAGCCGGGAGCUGGAGGAGACGCGGCAGGAACGGCGCCAGCGGGAGGAGGAGCUGGAGCAGGAGCGGGAGGAGCUGCAGCGGGCGCGGGAAGCGCUGGAGGAGGAGCGGGAGGAGAAGCGGGAGCUGAGGGAGCGGCUGGAAGGGCUGGAGAAGGAAGUGGGAUCCCUCCGGGAGCAGCUGGCGCAGCAGCCGCCACCUCAGAGCCACCCCGAGGUGCCACCGCCGCCACCGCUGCCACCGCCCGCUGCCACCACUGUCCCCGACGAGUAGGUGACACAUCCCGGUGGCUUUUCCAAUCAAUCUCCUGGAAUAUUCCUGGAAAACCGCUGUCCCCACCCUGACUGUCCCCUGGAGGGGAGGGGACGGGGUGACAGACAUGAGGUGUCACCUCCUGUCCCCUCCGGUGUCGACCUCCUGU
rnacentral:lncRNA from 1 species